rnacentral:rRNA from 1 species
UACGGAGGGUGCGAGCGUUGUCCGGAAUCACUGGGCGUAAAGGGCGCGUAGGCGGUUGGGGAAGUCCGUGGUGAAAGCUCGUGGCUCAACUACGAGUCGGCCAUGGAUACUCCUUGACUUGAGCACUGUAGAGGCAGAUGGAAUUCCGGGUGUAGCGGUGGAAUGCGUAGAUAUCAGGAGGAACACCUGUGGCGAAAGCGGCGCACUGGACCACAACUGACGCUGAGGCGCGAAAGCUAGGGGAGCAAACAGG